AGAGAGCCCGGGACCGGCCAAGGGGGGAAAGGGGCCGGGAGAGACCCCCGGGACCGCCGCACCCCGGGAGUGCUGCAUCCCGGGCCUGGCCAGGCGGGAAAGGGGCCGGGAGAGACCCUGGGCCUGGCGCAGCCCGGGCCCAGCGCUGCCUCACGCAGAUGAAUUUAAGGAGGUCAAAACAUGAUGGGACUCAUAGUGAAAUGACAGGAAUAAACACUGUCUGAAUCCCCUGGCUAUUCCCUUUGCCUCCAGCCAUCCAGACUGGCCUCUCCAAGUGAUAACAGUAACAGAAAGCAGAACAUAACAUCCAGGAAAGAUUUAUCAACUCCUCAGUAUUAAAGAGUACGAAACAAGAAGAUAGAAACACAGGAAGAAAUAAAAUAUAUUGACCUAAUCUACAGAAUGUCCUGCAGACAAGUCAGAAGAAAAACCAAACAAACAUCAAAGACUCAAACAAAUAUUUAAAUAAUAUAUAAACUCAUAAAUAUCCAUGUACCCCAGCAAUGUAACAAUAUAUAAAAAACAAUGGCUUACAUUGAGGCUGUGUUCUUUGGCCAAUUACCAAAAGCAUCCAGCACUAGAUAUUAUUUUGUCCCUAAUUUUAUCCCUUAUUAAACUUUAAAAUUUCUAAACUGUGAACUUUAUUUUUCAUACUUAACAACAUUAAUUCAAUAUUCAGUAUUAAUUCAGUAUUAACAGGUGCUUCUUCAGAGCCCAGACAGGGCAUGCCCUGUCCCCAGGGCAGCUCUCUGCACUUUGAAGCCCAAGUCACCCUCAGCCUGUGCAGAGAAAUAAAUAAAAACCCAACACCAGCACCAAGCUGGAGUUGAAUCUGAAACCCUUUGUUGUUUCUGCCUGGCUUGGGAACUUUUUCAGCAAUAUCUCAUCAGAGACAAUAUUUCUUCUCCUCUGACACCACUGGGGAACAGUGU